rnacentral:pre_miRNA from 1 species
UGGUUUCUGAAUCCGUGUCGAAAUUUUGUCAGACACCGACCCACCAGAGCAGAUGAGAUUUUCAAGAUAAGUGAAGUA